CAGAAUCUCUGGUUCCGUAGACCAGCGCCUUAUCCAUUGGGCCAUGGAGUCACAAAGUUUUGGUGUUGAGAGUGGGAUUUGAACCCACGCCCUUUCGGACCAGAACCUUAAUCUGGCGCCUUAGACCAACUCGGCCAUCUCAACUUGAUGCUGUAUUUUGCACCCAAAUUUUACAAGUAAUUAUCUGUGACUAAAUAAUAACUUUGGCGAGGCAGUGUCAGAGUUUUUGUCAUGUUAUGUGUGAUGAUAGAUUCAACACCAGUGCUAUCGAGGUGUGUUUGUGUUCACAUUAUGUUCAUAAAAAAAGGACAAUCCAAAGAGAAUACUGUGUUACGUUUUGAGCAAGAUUCAUGCAUGCCAUGCUGCCACACAAAAAAUAAAAUAGAGGGUUUCUGGAUCUGACAUAGUAAAAUGAGCCUCGAGCAUUGAGUGUUUGUAUAUGAUAUUGGAUAUUACAUUAUAAUAAUAUGAACUAAAGCAUCAUUGAUUGGAUGAUACUAGAAUAGAAAAAAUAAGUACUAAAAGCAUCAUUUAUUGGAUUACAAGAGACAAGUUUUGUUAACAAAAUAGGAGACCAAAAGGGGGACAAGCUCUUAGGCCUAUCUUUUCUUCCAGCAACCUAGCUAUAUGUGGUGAAUUUCAUUAAUCUUGUGCUAAGUACUAACAACAAUAUACGGUGUGGGAUGAGACCAUUUGUCCUAAGUUGAAUUGCCAAGUAAUUAAUAUAUUAAACUCUAUUAGUCUCCACAAUGAGGGUGGGGAUAAGAAACACGUGAAGGUCAAUAGUUCAACUGAAAGAUUCUUGGCCGUAUGAAUGAAUUAUUAGUCUUGGCAUUACUUAAUUUGUAUGUAUACUUUGUUUCCUUCUUGUGCUUACAACUACCUUUUUCCAAUAUUUGACAAAAGAAGAGAAGAAUAUAAUACAGACAUGCUAAUUUUGUGCUAAGUAAUCUGACUUGACUCACAUGCAUGGAUUUCAAAGACUGAUCAUCUACUAUUUGUUUACUUGUUUUACUCCAAUCGAAGAUAAAGAAAAAGAG